rnacentral:rRNA from 10 species
GUGCCCAAUUUUCCUUGGAAAAGGGAGUCAGAGAGGGUGAGAACCCCGUCGGCACUUGCCUCAGCUGCUCCACGAGGCGUUUUCUCAGAGUCGGGUUGCUUGGGAAUGCAGCCCUAAGUAGGUGGUAAAUCCCAUCUAAGGCUAAAUACUGACGGGAGACCGAUAGCGAACAAGUACCGUGAGGGAAAGAUGAAAAGAACUUUGAAAAGAGAGUCAAAAGUGCUUGAAAUUGUUGAGGGGGAAGGAAUUGGAAGCCGUUUGUGCACCU